CUGGUUGCAUUAUCUUCCCUGUAAUCCGUCUUCACAAAUAUCUCAUGGAUGGCUGUGAGAUCCAUUCGAGAACAAGCUUCUGCCAAUGGUGAUGGUGAAUAUUGCUGGAGAUGUUUUGGUAUGGGAAUACCCAACAUCACAUGAGAUGGUACCUGAUGAAAUAAAAAUAUCAAAUCAAUUUGGGUUCCGAUCAAUUAAUUAAUUAUAUGCAGGCAGGCAGGCAGGCACCUCAGAUUUAGAUUGCAGUGAAGCCAAUGUGUGAACGAUGGUGGUGAUUUGGGGUCGAUCUUUGGGAUCAGAUUGUAAGCAUCGAGAUGCAAGUUGAACAACAGCAGUUGCCUCCUCCGUUGGAUAUCUUCC
rnacentral:lncRNA from 1 species